AGCAGCCGCGGUAAUUCCAGCUCCAAUAGCGUAUAUUAAAGUUGUUGCAGUUAAAAAGCUCGUAGUUGAAUUUCGGGAUCAGUUUGUUGGUCGUGCUUCGGUACGUACUGUCAUUACUGGUUUCUACCUUCUGAAGAACCUUGAUGUCAUUAAUUUGGUGUCUUGGGGAAUCAGGACUGUUACUUUGAAAAAAUUAGAGUGUUUAAAGCAAGCAUACGCUUGAAUACAUUAGCAUGGAAUAAUGAAAUAGGACGUUUGAUUCUAUUUUGUUGGUUUCUAGGAUCGACGUAAUGAUUAAUAGGGAUAGUUGGGGGCAUUAGUAUUCAAUUGUCAGAGGUGAAAUUCUUGGAUUUAUUGAAGACUAACUACUGCGAAAGCAUUUGCCAAGGAUGUUUUCAUUAAUCAAGAACGAAAGUUAGGGGAUCGAAGACGAUCAGAUACCGUCGUAGUCUUAACCAUAAACUAUAGCCGACUAGGGAUCGGAUGAUGUUAAUUUUUAAUUGACUCAUUCGGCGCCUUA
rnacentral:rRNA from 1 species